rnacentral:rRNA from 1 species
GUCGAACGGUAACAUUUCUAGCUUGCUAGAAGAUGACGAGUGGCGGACGGGUGAGUAAUGCUUGGGAACUUGCCUUUGCGAGGGGGAUAACAGUUGGAAACGACUGCUAAUACCGCAUAAUGUCUUCGGACCAAACGGGGCUUUUAGCUCCGGCGCAAAGAGAGGCCCAAGUGAGAUUAGCUAGUUGGUAAGGUAACGGCUUACCAAGGCGACGAUCUCUAGCUGUUCUGAGAGGAAGAUCAGCCACACUGGGACUGAGACACGGCCCAGACUCCUACGGGAGGCAGCAGUGGGGAAUAUUGCACAAUGGGGGAAACCCUGAUGCAGCCAUGCCGCGUGUGUGAAGAAGGCCUUCGGGUUGUAAAGCACUUUCAGUUGUGAGGAAAAGUUAGUAGUUAAUCCCUGCUAGCCGUGACGUUAACAACAGAAGAAGCACCGGCUAACUCCGUGCCAGCAGCCGCGGUAAUACGGAGGGUGCGAGCGUUAAUCGGAAUUACUGGGCGUAAAGCGCACGCAGGCGGUUUGUUAAGCUAGAUGUGAAAGCCCCGGGCUCAACCUGGGAUGGUCAUUUAGAACUGGCAGACUAGAGUCUUGGAGAGGGGAGUGGAAUUCCAGGUGUAGCGGUGAAAUGCGUAGAUAUCUGGAGGAACAUCAGUGGCGAAGGCGACUCCCUGGCCAAAGACUGACGCUCAUGUGCGAAAGUGUGGGUAGCGAACAGGAUUAGAUACCCUGGUAGUCCACACCGUAAACGCUGUCUACUAGCUGUGUGUGAAUUUAAUUCGUGCGUAGCGAAGCUAACGCGCUAAGUAGACCGCCUGGGGAGUACGGCCGCAAGGUUAAAACUCAAAUGAAUUGACGGGGGCCCGCACAAGCGGUGGAGCAUGUGGUUUGAUUCGAUGCAACGCGAAGAACCUUACCUACACUUGACAUGCAGA